UGCCAAACUCUAGCCCAAUCGACAUGACCUGGAAUAACAAAGCUACUACAUACACCCAACUAAAGCAUUCACUAGUCCUAGUAUAGGCGAUAGAAAAGACACCAUUGGAGCGAUAGAGACCACGUACCGUAAGGGAAAGAUGAAAUAACAAUGAAAACUAAGCUAUAAACAGCAAAGAUCAACCCUUGUACCUUUUGCAUCAUGGUCUAGCAAGAAAAACCAAGCAAAAUGAAUUUAAGUUUGCCAUCCCGAAACCCAAGCGAGCUACCUACGAGCAGCUGUCAGAGCGAACCCGUCUCUGUGGCAAAAGAGUGGGAUGACUUGUCGGUAGAGGUGAAAAGCCAAUCGAGCUGGGUGAUAGCUGGUUGCCUGUGAAACGAAUCUAAGUUCACUCUUAAUUCUUCUCCAAGGAAACUCAAGAACCCUAAUGAAGCGAAUUAAGGGCUAUUUAAAGGAGGUACAGCUCCUUUAAAAAAGAAUACAAUCUCUACGAGCGGAUAAAUAAUAACAUACGAACUUACUGUGGGCCCUUAAGCAGCCAUCAACAAAGAGUGCGUUAAAGCUCCGUACCCAAAAAAUAUAAGAAUUUUAUGACUCCCUCCCCACUAACAGGCUAACCUAUAUACAAAUAGGAGAAUUAAUGCUAGAAUGAGUAACCAGGGUCCUCCCUCUACGACGCAAGCUUACAUCUAUACAUUAUUAACAAACCACCAAUAUACGAUAAAUCAAACAAGCAGAGUAUUAGGUAUCUUGUUAACCCGACAGAGGAGCGUCCAUUAAGAAAGAUUAAAACCUGUAAAAGGAACUAGGCAAACCCGUCAAGGCCCGACUGUUUACCAAAAACAUAGCCUUCAGCAAACCAACAAACAAGUAUUGAAGGUGAUGCCUGCCCGGUGACUCACGUUUAACGGCCGCGGUAUCCUAACCGUGCAAAGGUAGCGCAAUCAAUUGUCCCAUAAAUCGAGACUUGUAUGAAUGGCUAAACGAGGUCUUAACUGUCUCUUACAGGCAAUCGGUGAAAUUGAUCUCCCUGUACAAAAGCAGGGAUAAACCCAUAAGACGAGAAGACCCUGUGGAACUUCAAAACCAACGACCACCUUAUAUCACAUAUACACCCACUGGGCUCACUGACACAUAAGAGAUUGGUACGUGUUUUUCGGUUGGGGCGACCUUGGAGUAAAACAAAGCCUCCAAAAAUUAGACCAUAAAUCUAGACUAAGAGCAACCCCUCAACGUGCUAACAGCACCCAGACCCAAUAUAAUUGAUCAAUGGACCAAGCUACCCCAGGGAUAACAGCGCAAUCUCCUCCGAGAGUCCGUAUCGACGGGGAGGUUUACGACCUCGAUGUUGGAUCAGGACAUCCUAGUGGUGCAGCCGCUACUAAGGGUUCGUUUGUUCAACGAUUAACAGUCCUACGUGAUCUGAGUUCAGACCGGAGUAAUCCAGGUCGGUUUCCAUCUAUGAUGAACUCUUCCCAGUACGAAAGGAUAGGAAAAGUGAGGCCAAUACUACAAGCAAGCCUUCGCCUUAAGUAAUGAAGUCAACUAAAUUACGAAAAGCUAUCACACCCCCCCACAUCCAAGAAAAGGACCA
rnacentral:rRNA from 1 species